GAUGGGGUUUUAGCCAAACGGGGCGGGGCGGCCGUUGCUAUCACUACAAACCCAUAUCUCACUACGCUUCCCAUUUUGCAAAACCCUCCCGUCGACACAAAGUCCCAAGACGAAAUCAGUUUCCUCCAAAUCUACUAGAGCAAAACCCUCCCGCCGGCACCAAGUAGCUCACUCCAUUCGAUGUCGGAAUGAAAAGGACGACAUUUGUACCCUUCGUCGCUUGCUGCACCAGAUAUGUACUCAUCUUCGUCACUGAAACUUACGAUGGCAGGAAAGAAUCAGGGAGUAUGUUAUGGUUGUAGAGAAAAAUGACAUUAUUUUGCUGACUGUCCGGAGAAACGGCAUUGCCCAUGGUGCAAACAUGCAUUCGUCAAGUGUUUUGAGGUAGAGAAAGAUAGCAAAAACAAGGGUAGAUUAUUCAAUACCUGUACUGCAAAAUGUGGAUAUUGGGAGUGGGUGAAAGAUGGAGAGACUAGUGGUGAAGCAAGUGUAGUCAGCGUAACUUCGACGAAUCAUGUGACGAGCAAAGGAGUUGAAGAACUAUCUUGUAUGUUUCAAUCUCAAUGUCGACUAUUUGAUCAACGCGAUGUGGAGAUGUCUCUUAACGUGACAAUACACAAAAGAAGAGCAAAUGUGGAUGGAGAGAAGAAAGGAAAGUGUCGUGAAUGAGUUGCAGUUUUGAAUUUAAUGACCUUAUUCACUUUUGCAUUUCCAACAUUAGUAGUUUCAUCACUAUUUAGUAGUUAAGUAAUGUUGUUUAGUAAUUGUGUCGUCGUAGGGGGUUACUCAAUGUGAAUUGUCUAGAUUGUAUUGUUGUUUGUAGUUAUGCGAUGUGGAUGGAAUGGAGUUGCCAUUCAAGGAAUGUGUAGUAUCAACUUGGACUUUGAUCACAUUCAAGCAUCUCACAAUGUUUAAGCAUUGUCUCUUCAUUAUGUAAUUUCUAUCCAUUUCAAUAAAGUGAUUGCACCAGAUUUUAGUUGAAUGUUUAA